rnacentral:rRNA from 1 species
AUUGGACGCUGGCGGCAUGCCUUACACAUGCAAGUCGAACGGCAGCACGGGUGCUUGCACCUGGUGGCGAGUGGCGAACGGAUGAGUAAUACAUCGGAACGUACCUUAUCGUGGGGGAUAACGCAGCGAAAGCUGUGCUAAUACCGCAUACGCCCUGAGGGGGAAAGCGGGGGAUCGCAAGACCUCGCGCGAUUAGAGCGGCCGAUGCCUGAUUAGCUUGUUGGUGGGGUAAAAGCCCACCAAGGCGACGAUCAGUAGCUGGUCUGAGAGGACGAUCAGCCACACUGGGACUGAGACACGGCCCAGACUCCUACGGGAGGCAGCAGUGGGGAAUUUUGGACAAUGGGGGCAACCCUGAUCCAGCAAUGCCGCGUGAGUGAAGAAGGCCUUCGGGUCGUAAAGCUCUUUUGUCAGGGAAGAAACACCGGCUCUAACACAGUCCGGGAAUGACGGUACCUGAAGAAUAAGCACCGGCUAACUACGUGCCAGCCGCCGCAGUAA